GUCGAGGGGCAGCAUGGUCUUAGCUUGCUAAGGCCGAUGGCGACCGGCGCACCUUUGAGUAACACGUAUCCAACCUGCCGUCUACUCUUGGACAGCCUUCUGAAAGGAAGAUUAAUACAAGAUGGCAUCAUGAGUCCACAUGUUCACAUAAUUAAAGGUAUUCCGGUAGACGAUGGGGAUGCGUUCCAUUAGAUAGUAGGCGGGGUAACGGCCCACCUAGUCUUCGAUGGAUAGGGGUUCUGAGAGGAAGGUCCCCCACAUUGGAACUGAGACACGGUCCAAACUCCUACGGGAGGCAGCAGUGAGGAAUAUUGGUCAAUGGGCGAGAGCCUGAACCAGCCGAGUAGCGUGAAGGAUGACUGCCCUAUGGGUUGUAAACUUCUUUUAUAAAGGAAUAAAGUCGGGUAUGGAUACCCGUUUGCAUGUACUUUAUGAAUAAGGAUCGGCUAACUCCGUGCCAGCAGCCGCGGUAAUACGGAGGAUCCGAGCGUUAUCCGGAUUUAUUGGGUUUAAAGGGAGCGUAGAUGGAUGUUUAAGUCAGUUGUGAAAGUUUGCGGCUCAACCGUAAAAUUGCAGUUGAUACUGGAUAUCUUGAGUGCAGUUGAGGCAGGCGGAAUUCGUGGUGUAGCGGUGAAAUGCUUAGAUAUCACGAAGAACUCCGAUUGCGAAGGCAGCCUGCUAAGCUGCAACUGACAUUGAGGCUCGAAAGUGUGGGUAU
rnacentral:rRNA from 1 species